rnacentral:rRNA from 1 species
CAGCCGCCGCGGUAAUACCGGCGGCCCUAGUGGCGGCCACUAUUAUUGGGCUUAAAGCGUCCGUAGCCGGGUUGGUUAGUCUCCCGGGAAAUCUGGCCGCUUAACGGUCAGAAUUCCGGGAGAUACUGCCAGCCUAGGGACCGGGAGAGGCCGAGGGUAUUCCCGGAGUAGGGGUGAAAUCCUAUAAUCCCGGGAGGACCACCUGUGGCGAAGGCGCUCGGCUGGAACGGGUCCGACGGUGAGGGACGAAGGCCAGGGGAGCAAACCGGAUUAGAUACCCGGGUAGUCCUGGCGGUAAACGAUGCGGACUUUGUGUCGGACAAGCUAUGAGCUUGUCCGGUGCCGGAGGGAAACCGUUAAGUCCGCCGCCUGGGGAGUACGGCCGCAAGGCUGAAACUUAAAGGAAUUGGCGGG